rnacentral:rRNA from 1 species
AGAGAAGCUUGCUUCUCUUGAGAGCGGCGGACGGGUGAGUAAUGCCUAGGAAUCUGCCUGGUAGUGGGGGAUAACGUUCGGAAACGGACGCUAAUACCGCAUACGUCCUACGGGAGAAAGCAGGGGACCUUCGGGCCUUGCGCUAUCAGAUGAGCCUAGGUCGGAUUAGCUAGUUGGUGAGGUAAUGGCUCACCAAGGCUACGAUCCGUAACUGGUCUGAGAGGAUGAUCAGUCACACUGGAACUGAGACACGGUCCAGACUCCUACGGGAGGCAGCAGUGGGGAAUAUUGGACAAUGGGCGAAAGCCUGAUCCAGCCAUGCCGCGUGUGUGAAGAAGGUCUUCGGAUUGUAAAGCACUUUAAGUUGGGAGGAAGGGCAGUUACCUAAUACGUGAUUGUUUUGACGUUACCGACAGAAUAAGCACCGGCUAACUCUGUGCCAGCAGCCGCGGUAAUACAGAGGGUGCAAGCGUUAAUCGGAAUUACUGGGCGUAAAGCGCGCGUAGGUGG